GCUACUUGUUGUAUAAGUUGUGACGCCUGCUCAAUGUUAAAUAGCCGCAGAAUUUUUCUGUGCGAAGGUAGCAUAAUUAAUUGCCUUUUAAUUGGAGGCUGGAAUGAAGGGUAGUACUAAGUAAAGGGUUUUGUGUUUUGAACUUAAGUUAGUUAUAAAAAUGUAAUUAUAAGGCCUUGGGACGAGAAGACCCUAAAAGCUUUACAUGUCUUUUAGUUGGGGAGACUAGAGAAGAUAACUAACUUUUCAUAAGUUACUUUAGGGAUAACAGCGUUAUUAGGAUUAGGAGUUCUUAUUGAAAUCUUAUUUUGCGACCUCGAUGUUGAAUUAAAAGGUGAAGAAGCUUUAGUCUGUUCGACUACUAAGUAUUUACA
rnacentral:rRNA from 1 species